rfam:Pseudomonas putida strain TASWS0946 Contig177, whole genome shotgun sequence.
AUCAGACAGGUGCAGGCGAAUGGAGGCCGAUAUGUUCUUCGAUAAUGUGGUUAUCGCUGGCGUUGUGACAGUCGGCCUGAUGCUGCUGUUUUUCGCAGGCCUGGGUAUUUUCAUCUGGAAGGACUCGAACAAGCGCAAGCAGGGCUGAUCCUUUCCGAUACACGAGCACGCAAGGCAUUUAGGGCAACUUCGGUUGCCCAUUUUUUUU